AACAAGGUUUCCGUAGGUGAACCUGCGGAAGGAUCAUUACCUAGAGUUGUAGGCUUUGCCUGCUAUCUCUUACCCAUGUCUUUUGAGUACCUUCGUUUCCUCGGCGGGUCCGCCCGCCGAUUGGACAAUUUAAACCAUUUGCAGUUGCAAUCAGCGUCUGAAAAAACUUAAUAGUUACAACUUUCAACAACGGAUCUCUUGGUUCUGGCAUCGAUGAAGAACGCAGCGAAAUGCGAUAAGUAGUGUGAAUUGCAGAAUUCAGUGAAUCAUCGAAUCUUUGAACGCACAUUGCGCCCCUUGGUAUUCCAUGGGGCAUGCCUGUUCGAGCGUCAUUUGUACCUUCAAGCUUUGCUUGGUGUUGGGUGUUUGUCUCGCCUCUGCGUGUAGACUCGCCUCAAAACAAUUGGCAGCCGGCGUAUUGAUUUCGGAGCGCAGUACAUCUCGCGCUUUGCACUCAGAACGACGACGUCCAAAAGUACAUUUUUACACUCUUGACCUCGGAUCAGGUAGGGAUACCCGCUGAACUUAAGCAUAUCAAUAAGCGGAGGAAAAGAAACCAACAGGGAUUGCCCUAGUAACGGCGAGUGAAGCGGCAACAGCUCAAAUUUGAAAUCUGGCGUCUUUGGCGUCCGAGUUGUAAUUUGCAGAGGGCGCUUUGGCAUUGGCAGCGGUCCAAGUUCCUUGGAACAGGACGUCACAGAGGGUGAGAAUCCCGUACGUGGUCGCUAGCCUUUACCGUGUAAAGCCCCUUCGACGAGUCGAGUUGUUUGGGAAUGCAGCUCUAAAUGGGAGGUAAAUUUCUUCUAAAGCUAAAUACUGGCCAGAGACCGAUAGCGCACAAGUAGAGUGAUCGAAAGAUGAAAAGCACUUUGGAAAGAGAGUUAAAAAGCACGUGAAAUUGUUGAAAGGGAAGCGCUUGCAGCCAGACUUGCCUGUAGUUGCUCAUCCGGGUUUCUACCCGGUGCACUCUUCUAUAGGCAGGCCAGCAUCAGUUUGGGCGGUUGGAUAAAGGUCUCUGUCAUGUACCUCUCUUCGGGGAGAACUUAUAGGGGAGACGACAUGCAACCAGCCUGGACUGAGGUCCGCGCAUCUGCUAGGAUGCUGGCGUAAUGGCUGUAAGCGGCCCGUCUUGAAACACGGACCAAGGAGUCUAACAUCUAUGCGAGUGUUUGGGUGUCAAGCCCGAGCGCGUAAUGAAAGUGAACGGAGGUGGGAACCUUUCGGGGUGCACCAUCGACCGAUCCUGAUGUCUUCGGAUGGAUUUGAGUAAGAGCAUAGCUGUUGGGACCCGAAAGAUGGUGAACUAUGCUUGAAUAGGGUGAAGCCAGAGGAAACUCUGGUGGAGGCUCGCAGCGGUUCUGACGUGCAAAUCGAUCGUCAAAUUUGGGCAUAGGGGCGAAAGACUAAUCGAACUAUCUAGUAGC
rnacentral:rRNA from 1 species